CCUUACCUAGAUCUCUGACAUUUUUAUUAGUUUUUUAUUUGAAAAACUUCUUACUUGGAUUUUGUUCACUUUUUUAGCCUUUCCUUUGGAUAAAUAAAAGUGCGGUGGCGACUCGAAUUGUAUGUUGACUUUUGGUUUAGUCAAUAAACCUAAAGGUAACGAAAACCCCGCUACAUUCACCAUCCAUAGUUGUAAGAAUCAAUGCGCCGCCUAAGAAGGCUCUUUUAACAACAUAUGGGCCUUUAUAAUUAUGAAUC
rnacentral:lncRNA from 1 species